rnacentral:rRNA from 1 species
UACAGAGACUGCAAGCGUUAUUCGGAUUCACUGGGCGUAAAGGGUGCGCAGGCGGCCAAGUGUGUGAGGCGUGAAAGCCCCGAGGCUCAACCUCGGAACUGCCUUCGAUACUGCGGGUCUCGAGUCCGGGAGAGGUGAGUGGAAUUCCUAGUGUAGAGGUGGAAAUUCGUAGAUAUUAGGAAGAACACCAGUGGCGAAGGCGCUACACGUGGCCCGGUACUGACGCUGGAGG